UACGAAGGGGGCUAGCGUUGCUCGGAAUCACUGGGCGUAAAGGGCGCGUAGGCGGCCAUUCAAGUCAGAGGUGAAAGCCCAAGGCUCAACCUUGGAAUUGCCUUUGAUACUGUUUGGCUUGAGACCGGAAGAGGUUAGUGGAACUGCGAGUGUAGAGGUGAAAUUCGUAGAUAUUCGCAAGAACACCAGUGGCGAAGGCGGCUCACUGGCCCGAUACUGACGCUGAGGCACGAAAGCGUGGGGAGCAAACAGG
rnacentral:rRNA from 1 species